ACGCUAGUAGCUGAUUUGACUUCCUU
rnacentral:piRNA from 1 species